UUGUGGGGCUCCUAGUUUGCAAGAAACAACAUUUUACAUUUUCAGAUCAUUUUUAAUUAACCCAGUCUCUACUUACUGCUUAUUUCAGGAACAAGACAAAGCUAUUAAGCAACUGAUUGCCAAGCUCUCAUGACCACUAACCAUUACAGCAAUCUCCGAAAACCAAAAUCAGCCAGAGGGAGAGAACAAGUCAGCAUCUCCUGAGAAUCAGCCAUGCUGCAACUUGAGGGACUGACCAAGAAAGCAACGAGCCAGCCCUCCUGGAGCAUCUUCAGUUGAACUUAUCAUGGCUGCCUUGGAGUCCUGAAUUCAUUUAGAAACUGAUUUUCCUAGCUGUCUGACUUUGAAGAAGAUCCAGAAACCACACAGUGCUGAAACCAGUGAGUAAAUUUGCUGAGGACAUUUUAAACGUAUUGCUUUUAUCAGCUGUCUUUCCAUUGGAUGGAUAUGAAGUACCAUAAAAAUAUGGUGAAGGGGCUGGAGAUUUA